GGUGUCCUACGGGAGGCAGCAGUGAGGAAUAUUGGUCAAUGGGCGCGAGCCUGAACCAGCCACGUCGCGUGAGGGAAGACGGUCCUAUGGAUUGUAAACCUCUUUUGUCGGGGAGCAAAAGACGCCACGUGUGGCGUUCCGAGAGUACCCGAAGAAAAAGCAUCGGCUAACUCCGUGCCAGCAGCCGCGGUAAUACGGAGGAUGCGAGCGUUAUCCGGAUUUAUUGGGUUUAAAGGGUGCGUAGGCGGUUUGAUAAGUUAGAGGUGAAAUGUCGGGGCUCAACCCCGAAACUGCCUCUAAUACUG
rnacentral:rRNA from 1 species